rnacentral:lncRNA from 11 species
UCAGGGCACGCGGCUUCGACGCUCGCACGGCGCAUGCUCACAGCGUCCAAGGCGUGCUCCACAGAAUUAGAACCCGAAGUGCCCAAAAGGAUGAGACGCUGAAUUUCGGGGGGUUCUAUCACCCCCAUGGCCCCCCUCCCACCUCGACGACGGUUUGAGUUUGAAUUGGAAGGUUCCAUUCCGUUGGAGGAGGGGGGGUAUGAGGAGAGAGGACGGGGCGAGCUGCUUUCCCGAAACAACUUUGCGACAAGUCCAAACUCUGAAGCGAGAAGCAGAAAAAGAGAGGCGGGAAAGGCAGAGAUGUUUGUUUCCACACGUGACGAGUUCCUCUUCUCUCUUCCCCCCCUCCUUUAACAGUAAACUUGGGAGGGUCCUCUGAGGAGGGAGACCCCCGCGGAGAGAGUGGGAGCGACCUAACUCCCUGUCAAGUCCGUUUUGCGCUGGGACGGAGCCAUUAAGAAAAGGGGGAGGGAAGGAGAGAGAUGUCAACGUUCUAGGGUUUUGAGAAAGGAGAAGGCGACCCCCCUUGAGAAAAGAGUGGGAGCUGCCCAAAUGGUAUAGCUUUGGACGUGACUAUGGAGAGAAAAGGGGGGAGAUUUCAGAGAGGAAGAAAGGGAAAGAAGGAGGGAGGCAGACUCCUGCUUACCUCUCGGACUUGGUGAACUUUCGGAAGGCCUGCCGGAGGUCGGUGAAGGAGCGGUAGGUCUGGGGCUCGGCGGAGAUGCCCUGCGCCCGGGUGGUGCGGGGCCCGAUGUGGGCGGUGGGCGCCGGCAGGACGGACUGGCACUUGUGAAGCCUCCGCCUCAGCUCCUGCAGCUCGGCGUCCUUCUCCCCCAAGCGCCGCUCCAGCUCCUGGAUCCGCUCAUCCUUCAGCAGCAAGAGCUUGGCCAAGUCCCCUUCCAGCUCCUCGCUCAUGGUGCUCCCUUUCGAUGGAGAGAAGGGGGAAGGAAGGAAGGAAGGCAACGAGAGCCCUUUCCUCCCCCCGGGAAAGAACACUCCGAGAAGCGGCUGCGACCCAGGCGAGCGCCUCGGAGCCUCUCGGAAGGAGAGAAAGGCACAGCAAAGCGAAGCAAAGGAAAGGAGGAGAUUGAGAGGGAGGGGAAGGAAGGGAAGGGAAAAAAAGUAAGUCCGAAGCGGCGUUGGGGAGAGAUCUGCUGUCAACUAAUGAAGGCUGAUUUUCCCCUGUUCAAAGAAGAAAUUAGAAUAUGUGUUAAAAGCAUGACUGGAGAAAUCCACUUGAAAUCUACAAAGGACUUUAUCAUAAAAGCCUCCAGAAUCACCACAGACUGGCGAAUCCGAUGGUGCCUGUCGGGGGGCUUGGGGAACCCAUUGCCCCAUCCCCCGCAUUGCCCAACUCACCGGAGUCCCCAUCCCAUGGGGGAAGUGUUGAUCUCCCGGCCUCCGACAAUUGUUGCUGGUGCAACACAGGAAGCUUUCCAUGUUGCAGCUGUGGUGGCAUACUCAGGUUCUACUAUAGUUUGCCCUGCUGGAAGUUCAUCUACAUUGUGGAAUGGGAGCCGAUGGGCUCAGUGGAGAAACUAGAUCUGAACCGGCGUCUGCCACCAAAGUAAGCCCUG